rnacentral:lncRNA from 1 species
GUCGAUUGCUGACUUAAGCAUCAAAGGAUCUCUAUCAAAGUCAAUUUUGUAGGACCUGGUGUGGUGCUCCUAAGGCUUAAGGGACCAAAGAAAUGGUCAAGAUCCAAAGCCCAUGAGGCAUUCGUGGGAGUUCUAGGGCUAGUUUGGGCCCUAAGGUGAAAGGCUGUCAGCCUUCACAGUUUUGAGAUCUAGGAGAUUUGGAUCUUGAGGAGCUAACUUGAAUUGGGCUAGACUUGAGUCCAAGAGAGGUGAGAUUAGGUCAAGUCAUGGGUGUACAUGGGCUUGGGUGAAUACAAUCUCACAUUGGGUUAGCCAUGGGAGUU